GUUGCUAUUUCUUGGGCCGCUCCCACGGCAUAUGGAGGUUCCCAGGCUAGGGGUUGAAUCGGAGCUGUAGCCACCGGCCUACGCCAGAGCCACAGCAACGCGGGAUCCGAGCCACGUCUGCAACCUACACCACAGCUUACGGCAACGCCGGAUCGUUAACCCACUGAGCAAGGGCAGGGACCGAACCCGCAACCUCAUGGUUCCUAGUCGGAUUCGUUAACCACUGCGCCACGACGGGAACUCCCAUUUUAUACUUUCAUCAGCAGUGCACAAAAGAUCCAAUUUUUCCACAUCCUUGCUAACAUUUUUUUUUUUAAUAAUGGCCAUGUUAAUAUGAGUGAAGUAGUAUUUCAUUGUGGUUUUCAUUUUCAUUUCCCUAAUGACUAGUGAUCUUGAGCAUCUCUUCUUGUAUUUAUUAGUUAUUUUUACAUCUUCUCCAGGGAAAUGUCUAUUCAAGUCUUCUGCUCAUUUUUAAACCGAGUUUUCUUUUUUGGUUGUUGUCAUAGUUCUUGAUCUAUUCUGGAUCUUAAUCCCUUAUUAGAUACAUGACUUGUAAAUAUUUUCUAUUUUGUAGAUUGUUUUUUCACUCAGUUGAUAGUGUCCUUUGAUACAAAAGUUUUAAAUUUUGACGAAGUCCAGUUUAUUUUUUUGUUGUAUCCAACUUUUCUUUUGGAUAUCCAGUUUACCCAAAACUAUUUACUGAGAACACUACUCUUUUCCAAGUUAAUAGUCUUGGCAUAUUUGUUGAAAAUCAUUUCAACAUACAUGCAAGGGUUUAUUUCUGGGCCUGCAGUUUCUUCCAUUUGGUCUGUAUGUCUUUAUGCCAGUAUCAUGCUUCUUGAUGACCACAGUUUUAUAUUAAGUUUUAAAAUCAAGAGUUGUAAUAGGAGUUCCUGCUGUGGCGCAAGAGGACUUGUGGUGUCUCUGGAGCCCUGGGACACAGGUUCGAUCCUUUAGGUCGCAAUUAUGGCUUGGGCUUGAUCCCUGGCUUGGGAACCCCAUAUGCUGUGGGGCAGCCAAAAAAGAAAAAUAAUUGUGAGAUGUUCAACACUGUUCUUUUUCAGCACUGUUUUGGUUAUCUGAUGUCAUUUGGGACUCCAUAUGAAUUUUAAGAUAUAUUUCCUCUUUGUGCAAAGAAAGUCACUGAGAUUUUGAUAGGGGUUGCACUGGAUCUAUAGAUCAUUUUGGGUGGCAUUUCCACCUUAACAAUAUUAAGACUCUCAGCACAUGAAUAUGGGAUGUCUUUCCAUUUAUUUGUGCUUUCUUUCUUUUAGCAAUGUUAUGUAGUUUGCAGUAUGCAAGUCUUUCACCAUCAUGGCUAAUUUUAUUGCUAAGUAUUUUAUUUUUUUGAUGCUAAUGUAAAUGGUAAAAAAAUUUUUUUUGGCUGCACCUAUAGCAAGUGGAAGUUCUCAGAUCAGGGAUGGAACCCAUGCCACAGCAGCGGCCUGAGCCACAGCAGUGACAACGCCAGAUCUUUAACCCAUUGAGCCACUAGGAGACUCCUGGAAUUAUUUCUUAAUUUCCUUUCUGGAUUAUUCAUUGUUAGGGUAAGACAUGCAACUGAUUUUUGAGUGCUUAUUUUGUAUCCUACAACUAUGCUGAUUUCGCUUAUUUAAUUGCAAGAGGCUUUGUGUGUGUGUAAAAUCAAGGUUUUUCUACACAUAAAAUCACAUCACCUAUGAACAGAAAUAAUUUUACUUUAUAAAUCUUUCAGACUUAAAAUUGAUUUAUAGCUGUCUAGCAAUCUUGGUCCAUUCAUUCUUUCAUUCUUCUAGAAGUACAUCAGAGAAGUGUUUAUUCCCGCUCUCCAAACUUGUACUAUCUCUCCUUUCAUCCUUUUACUGAGAAAACGAAAGCUAACAGAAGAGAAUUCCUGCCAAUUUCCACCACACAUAUCCACACAUAUCUACACACUGUGCCCAUAUAACUCCUUCUUUGUAUGACAGAUGAACAAUUACUGUUCAGAAGACCGAACUCUUUCCUUGUAUAUUAGAUUUUAUCCCCUCUUGCUUACUUAAGGAUAUUCCUAUAGCGUUCUCCCUUGUAUCUUUAAUAUUUUCUUCUUUACUGAAUCAUUCCUAUCAGCAAAUAUGUUCUAAUUUCUCUCACCUUAAUUUCAUCUCUUAAACACUAUCACUUUACCUGAUAAUAUUGCAAUUUUAUCACUGAUAUUUUAAUAAACACCCUCAGAGAAAGGUUUUUUUCCCUACUUUUGUUUUUUAAAACAAUUUUUAAAUUAUAGUUGAUUUACAAUGCUGUUUUCUAUUUUUAACUCAGAUAAUUAAAAAUCACUGCUUCCUAUUUGAAAGCCUGACAAAUUUAAAAUAUUAGAAAACAUUUAUUUCCACACACCAGAAAAAAAUGGAAAUGCUUGAUUUAAUGUAUUAACUGAAAGAUUCUAAGGGCAGCAAUUUCAGCCAGAUAGAAAAGGUACAUCUCUCUUUAUCUAUGUUCACCAACAACAAUAAUCGUUCAGGCUGGUAAGCUUUGAUUUUUCCUUUACAUUAUAAUGAUCUUCAAAGCCAAACUAGGUUUUAUGUUAAGCUUUCAAGAAGUGGUUAUUUUAUUUACUUUGGCCAUGCCUAUGACACACAGAAGUCCCCAGGCCAGGGAUUUAACCCACACCACAGCAGUGACAACACUGGAUCCUUAACCCACUGAGCCACCAGGGAACUCCACAAAGUGGUUAUUUCAAAGUCAAAAUUUCUUUUCUUUUUUUUUUUUGGUCUUUUUGUCUUUGUUGUUGUUGCUAUUUCUUGGGCUGCUCCCGCGGCAUAUGGAGGUUCCCAGAAAAGGCAAAAAACAAAACAAAACUACUUACUGCACUCAGUGGCUAAUCUAUGAUCAUAAGGUCACUCCUUGACACACAUUAUUUUAUGCCUCACUAAUGAAAUGAUAUGAGGUAGUGUAAAAGAAGCAUCUGAAGCCUUAGCUUUCAUUCAAAGCAGGCCAUUCCUUAGCAUUAAGAACAGAAACAGUUGCACUUGAUUUUCGUCUAUUUAGAGAUGGAAAUGAAUCUUUUUGGUA
rnacentral:lncRNA from 1 species